AUGUGGUAUUGUUCAUCUUUUCAUAGCAACCCAUCUUUUCUUUCAAAGUUGCAUUUUAAGGUUUUGUUUGUUUUGUUUUUUUGUUUUUUGUUCUGCAAGUAUAGGUUGUCUUCCAGGUUUGUUUUUCUGUUAUGCCCCAGUACGGCCACCAGAAGGCAUCAUAUCCAAAGAGUAGCAGAGGAAAUCUCUAUCAGAGGUGGUGCUAGAGACGCAUGCAGCGUCUGCCAGUCUAGAGUGGGCUUCAUCAAUGUGACAUCAUGAAUGACACACAUCAGUGUCUAAAUGAUGCUGGCUCUCUUUUCUCUGAUUGCAACAGAAUGGGUCUCAGCCUCAGAAGUCACGUCCACGGGCCAUUGGCUGAACGUCUGAUGCAUAUGGCACACAAAAUUGGAAACACUAUGGGAUUGGUUGAAUUAUACAGGAUUUCCAGUAGAUGUGUGUGCCGCGUUCUUUAACAUCCCACCAGGAAACAAAGAUGCAGUGAUGCCAAACCAAGAUGCCAAAAGAGUUUUACACACCUGUUUGUUAGUGUGGGGACAUUUCC
ensembl:lncRNA